rnacentral:rRNA from 1 species
GAUGAACGCUGGCGGCGUGCCUAAUACAUGCAAGUCGAGCGAACGGACGAGAAGCUUGCUUCUCUGAUGUUAGCGGCGGACGGGUGAGUAACACGUGGAUAACCUACCUAUAAGACUGGGAUAACUUCGGGAAACCGGAGCUAAUACCGGAUGAUAUUUUGAACCGCAUGGUUCAAAAGUGAAAGACGGUCUUGCUGUCACUUAUAGAUGGAUCCGCGCUGCAUUAGCUAGUUGGUAAGGUAACGGCUUACCAAGGCAACGAUGCAUAGCCGACCUGAGAGGGUGAUCGGCCACACUGGAACUGAGACACGGUCCAGACUCCUACGGGAGGCAGCAGUAGGGAAUCUUCCGCAAUGGGCGAAAGCCUGACGGAGCAACGCCGCGUGAGUGAUGAAGGUCUUCGGAUCGUAAAACUCUGUUAUUAGGGAAGAACAUAUGUGUAAGUAACUGUGCACAUCUUGACGGUACCUAAUCAGAAAGCCACGGCUAACUACGUGCCAGCAGCCGCGGUAAUACGUAGGUGGCAAGCGUUAUCCGGGAUUAUUGGGCGUAAAGCGCGCGUAGCGGUUUUUUAGUCUGAUGUGAAAGCCCACGGCUCAACCGUGGAGGGUCAUUGGAAACUGGAAAACUUGAGUGCAGAAGAGGAAAGUGGAAUUCCAUGUGUAGCGGUGAAAUGCGCAGAGAUAUGGAGGAACACCAGUGGCGAAGGCGACUUUCUGGUCUGUAACUGACGCUGAUGUGCGAAAGCGUGGGGAUCAAACAGGAUUAGAUACCCUGGUAGUCCACGCCGUAAACGAUGAGUGCUAAGUGUUAGGGGGUUUCCGCCCCUUAGUGCUGCAGCUAACGCAUUAAGCACUCCGCCUGGGGAGUACGACCGCAAGGUUGAAACUCAAAGGAAUUGACGGGGACCCGCACAAGCGGUGGAGCAUGUGGUUUAAUUCGAAGCAACGCGAAGAACCUUACCAAAUCUUGACAUCCUUUGACAACUCUAGAGAUAGAGCCUUCCCCUUCGGGGGACAAAGUGACAGGUGGUGCAUGGUUGUCGUCAGCUCGUGUCGUGAGAUGUUGGGUUAAGUCCCGCAACGAGCGCAACCCUUAAGCUUAGUUGCCAUCAUUAAGUUGGGCACUCUAAGUUGACUGCCGGUGACAAACCGGAGGAAGGUGGGGAUGACGUCAAAUCAUCAUGCCCCUUAUGAUUUGGGCUACACACGUGCUACAAUGGACAAUACAAAGGGCAGCGAAACCGCGAGGUCAAGCAAAUCCCAUAAAGUUGUUCUCAGUUCGGAUUGUAGUCUGCAACUCGACUACAUGAAGCUGGAAUCGCUAGUAAUCGUAGAUCAGCAUGCUACGGUGAAUACGUUCCCGGGUCU